AAACCCCCCCUUCCUUGGGAGAAAUCUUUGUUUGUCUUUAAUGAUUUAAAGAGGAGCGUAGUGGUGAUUAAUAACUUGGAAAGAAGGAUGCAUUCAAAUCAUUUGCUAUAGGAGGAGCCUAUAAGGAUGGCUUCAGUUCUGGAGCCAUCAAAAUCUGUUGUUAAUAAAAAGUGGCAGCCCCAUUUCACUUCUGGCAGAUGGUUUUGUUAUUCUGACUCCAGAUCAACAACGGGAAGCUUCUUCUGAAGUUCUUCCCAUCAAUUUUGAUGGACUAUCUGAGGUUUUUUCUAUAUAUUCGUUCAUCAUUUCUGCAAACAUACUGUUGGUGUAGUAAUUGUUCUGUCUUUCUAUUUGAUGGACCAUUAUUGGUUAAGGGUAGGUGUAUGUAAUGCAAAUUACCACUCUAAAAAUACAGAUCAAACUUAGUGCUUUAUGAUGCUUUAGUGAGUUUGAAAUGUUUGAUUAUGUAGAAAUCUGGGUAGCCAUGGGGACACACAAGAAGUUAGAACUUUGAAUAAAAGAAAUGGUCUCUUGCAUUCAUACUUCUUUGUUAAUGGACUUCAUAAAACAUUAUGGUGUUUGCAGUUGUUGCUUGGAAGGUGAGUGGAUCCUGUAAUGAUUAUUUAAUAUAGUUGCACAACAACAUGAACUUGACAAAAUUCAUUUGUUUUGUUCCUCAUGGAGUUAAUUACUUAUCUGAACUUUCAUUCUGUGUAUCUUUUUGUGUUUCAUUAUUCUUGUUUGAACUGUUGUAUGCAUGUUUUGAUGCCUUAAAUUCUGUGUAUCUUAUCGGUUUUAGAUAUCGUGAGGGCUUUAGUAUCAUGACAUAUCUUAUUUGGAAUUAGUUAUUGUGAAUUCUUGAAAAUUGACAUAGUAUUGCAGUUCUGUUCUAUUUAUCAGCAGAAUACAUUGAAAAAUAGAAUGCAUGAAACUCUUAUCCUGUUAUCAUUAUGUUUAUAUCAGUGCUUGAUCGUGAUACUUGACUAAAGCAGCAAAAGUAUCUUCAGUUAUAGUUGGAUUACUUCACUUUGUUCCCUGUAGCCUUUUUCAUUCUUUUGUAACAUCCCAUCAGGCAGAGAAGGUUUUCAAUCAAGACUUGUAUUUCAAGAAAACUGUCAAAUAUGUUGGAGAGCCAAUGACCCACCUUGAGUCCAUUGCGUCAUCUGCGCCAUCAAGGUGGAGGCAUGGUCAUUAUAUGCUUCACUUCUUCAGGAAGGGCUGCAAGAUUGAUUGCCAAGUAUAGGCCAACAAUACCAGUUCUGUCUGUUGUCAUCCCUCGACUUAAGACAAAUCAAUUAAAAUGGAGCUUUAGAGGGGCCUUUGAGGUAUUGUUUUUUGCUUGAUCUAGUGAAGUUUGUUGGGUUAUUUUUCUGUGAGAUGCUUGUUCAACCCUUGAUAAUUUCCCCAAAUUCAUUUCUGGAUGUGACAUGGCACUCAAUUCAUGACUUAAAAAAGAAUUGAGGGGAUGAUGAUUGCCCCUAUUAUCUUACAAAAUUUAUGGAUUGAUUUCUUGAAACAACCUGUCAACCCCACCCCUGUCUGGCAUGGAAAAUGACAAGUACUUCACAU